rnacentral:rRNA from 1 species
ACAUGCAGUCGGACGGCAGCACAGGGAAGCUUGCUUCUCGGGUGGCGAGUGGCGAACGGGUGAGUAACAUAUCGGAACGUACCGGGUAGCGGGGGAUAACUGAUCGAAAGAUCAGCUAAUACCGCAUACGUCUUGAGAGGGAAAGCAGGGGACCUUCGGGCCUUGCGCUAUCCGAGCGGCCGAUAUCUGAUUAGCUGGUUGGCGGGGUAAAGGCCCACCAAGGCGACGAUCAGUAGCGGGUCUGAGAGGAUGAUCCGCCACACUGGGACUGAGACACGGCCCAGACUCCUACGGGAGGCAGCAGUGGGGAAUUUUGGACAAUGGGCGCAAGCCUGAUCCAGCCAUGCCGCGUGUCUGAAGAAGGCCUUCGGGUUGUAAAGGACUUUUGUCAGGGAAGAAAAGGCCGUUGCCAAUAUCGGCGGCCGAUGACGGUACCUGAAGAAUAAGCACCGGCUAACUACGUGCCAGCAGCCGCGGUAAUACGUAGGGUGCGAGCGUUAAUCGGAAUUACUGGGCGUAAAGCGGGCGCAGACGGUUACUUAAGCAGGAUGUGAAAUCCCCGGGCUCAACCCGGGAACUGCGUUCUGAACUGGGUGACUCGAGUGUGUCAGAGGGAGGUGGAAUUCCACGUGUAGCAGUGAAAUGCGUAGAGAUGUGGAGGAAUACCGAUGGCGAAGGCAGCCUCCUGGGAUAACACUGACGUUCAUGUCCGAAAGCGUGGGUAGCAAACAGGAUUAGAUACCCUGGUAGUCCACGCCCUAAACGAUGUCAAUUAGCUGUUGGGCAACUUGAUUGCUUGGUAGCGUAGCUAACGCGUGAAAUUGACCGCCUGGGGAGUACGGUCGCAAGAUUAAAACUCAAAGGAAUUGACGGGGACCCGCACAAGCGGUGGAUGAUGUGGAUUAAUUCGAUGCAACGCGAAGAACCUUACCUGGUUUUGACAUGUGCGGAAUCCUCCGGAGACGGAGGAGUGCCUUCGGGAGCCGUAACACAGGUGCUGCAUGGCUGUCGUCAGCUCGUGUCGUGAGAUGUUGGGUUAAGUCCCGCAACGAGCGCAACCCUUGUCAUUAGUUGCCAUCAUUCGGUUGGGCACUCUAAUGAGACUGCCGGUGACAAGCCGGAGGAAGGUGGGGAUGACGUCAAGUCCUCAUGGCCCUUAUGACCAGGGCUUCACACGUCAUACAAUGGUCGGUACAGAGGGUAGCCAAGCCGCGAGGCGGAGCCAAUCUCACAAAACCGAUCGUAGUCCGGAUUGCACUCUGCAACUCGAGUGCAUGAAGUCGGAAUCGCUAGUAAUCGCAGGUCAGCAUACUGCGGUGAAUACGUUCCCGGGUCUUGUACACACCGCCCGUCACACCAUGGGAGUGGGGGAUACCAGAAGUAGGUAGGGUAACCGCAAGGAGUCCGCUUACCACGGUAUGCUUCAUGACUGGGGUGAAGU